UACGGGGGGGGCAAGCGUUGUUCGGAAUUACUGGGCGUAAAGGGCUCGUAGGCGGCCAACUAAGUCAGACGUGAAAUCCCUCGGCUUAACCGGGGAACUGCGUCUGAUACUGGAUGGCUUGAGAUUGGGAGAGGGAUGCGGAAUUCCAGGUGUAGCGGUGAAAUGCGUAGAUAUCAGGAGGAACACCGGUGGCGAAGGCGGGUCUCUGGGCAGUAACUGACGCUGAGGAGCGAAAGCGUGGGGAGCGAACAGG
rnacentral:rRNA from 1 species